AUUGAACGCUGGCGGCAGGCUUAACACAUGCAAGUCGAGCGGAGAGAGGUAGCUUGCUACUGAUCUUAGCGGCGGACGGGUGAGUAAUGCUUAGGAAUCUGCCUAUUAGUGGGGGACAACAUUUCGAAAGGAAUGCUAAUACCGCAUACGUCCUACGGGAGAAAGCAGGGGAUCGUCGGACCUUGCGCUAACAGAUGAGCCUAAGUCGGAUUAGCUAGUUGGGGGGGUAAAGGCCUACCAAGGUGACGAUCUGUAGCGGGUCUGAGAGGAUGAUCCGCCACACGGGGACUGAGACACGGCCCAGACUCCUACGGGGGGCAGCAGUGGGGAAUAUUGGACAAUGGGCGCAAGCCUGAUCCAGCCAUGCCGCGUGUGUGAAGAAGGCCUUAUGGUUGUAAAGCACUUUAAGCGAGGAGGAGGCUACUUUAGAUAAUACCUAGAGAUAGUGGACGUUACUCGCAGAAUAAGCACCGGCUAACUCUGUGCCAGCCGCCGCCGUAACAC
rnacentral:rRNA from 1 species